GACGAACCGUCCAAACGUUAUUCGGAAUCACUGGGCUUACAGAGUUCGUAGGCGGUCUGGAAAGUUGGGUGUGAAAUCCCUCGGCCUAACCGAGGAACUGCGCUUGAAACUACCAGACUCGAGGGAGAUAGAGGAAAGCGGAACUGAUGGUGGAGCGGUGAAAUGCGUUGAUAUCAUCAGGAACACCGGUGGCGAAGGCGGCUUUCUGGGUCCUACCUGACGCUGAGGAACGAAAGCCAGGGGAGCGAACGGG
rnacentral:rRNA from 1 species